rnacentral:rRNA from 1 species
GUCGCCUCCUAAAAGGUAACGGAGGCGCUCAAAGGUUCCCUCAGAAUGGUUGGAAAUCAUUCAUAGAGUGUAAAGGCAUAAGGGAGCUUGACUGCGAGACCUACAAGUCGAGCAGGGUCGAAAGACGGACUUAGUGAUCCGGUGGUUCCGCAUGGAAGGGCCAUCGCUCAACGGAUAAAAGCUACCCCGGGGAUAACAGGCUUAUCUCCCCCAAGAGUUCACAUCGACGGGGAGGUUUGGCACCUCGAUGUCGGCUCAUCGCAUCCUGGGGCUGUAGUCGGUCCCAAGGGUUGGGCUGUUCGCCCAUUAAAGCGGUACGCGAGCUGGGUUCAGAACGUCGUGAGACAGUUCGGUCCCUAUCCGUCGUGGGCGUAGGAAAUUUGAGAGGAGCUGUCCUUAGUACGAGAGGACCGGGAUGGACAUACCUCUGGUGUACCAGUUGUCGUGCCAACGGCAUAGCUGGGUAGCUAUGUGUGGACGGGAUAAGUGCUGAAAGCAUCUAAGCAUGAAGCCCCCCUCAAGAUGAGAU